rnacentral:rRNA from 1 species
GACGUAGGGGGCAAGCGUUGUCCGGAGUUACUGGGCGUAAAGGGUCCGCAGGCGGUCACGUGCGUUUCGGCUGACAGCUUCCUGGCUUAACUGGAAGAGGGGUCGGAAAGACGGCGUGACUUGAGGGGCAGAGAGGGACAUGGAACUCCGAGUGGAGCGGUGAAAUGCGUAGAGAUUCGGAAGAACACCACCGGCGCAGGCAGUGUCCUGGCUGCUCACUGACGCUCAGGGACGAAAGCGAGGGGAGCGAACGGG